rnacentral:rRNA from 1 species
AUGAAGAACUUCCUCAGGAAGCUUCACAUCGGCGACUCCGCCGGCGACGGCGCCUCGUCGCCCGCGCCUCCCCUCCCGUCCUCCAAAAAGGGCGGCGGCGGCGGGGGAGCCGGGGGCCACCACGCAUCCUCUGGAAUCUCGAGCUGGCUCAGCUCCGUGGCCGGGCGCCCGCACCCGCCGCAGCCGCCCUUGCUGGCGGCUGCGGCUGCGGCUGCGGCGGCGGUGGAGACGGAGGCGGAGGAGCUGGCGCUGGCGUCGUCGAUUGGGGAGAGGCAGGCGGAGGAGGAGACGGCGAGGAGGGACGAGCGGAAGGAGGACAGGAAGAGGGAGAUUGAGAAGCAGGAGAAGCGGGAGGACGAGCUGGAGGAGUACCACAUGCAGCUGGCGCUGGAGAUGAGCGCGCGGGAGGACCCCGAGGCGAUGCAGAUCGAGGUGGCCAAGCAGAUCAGCCUCGGCUCCUGCCCGCUCCAGAGCUCCGCUGCCGAGGUCGUCGCCUUCCGCUACUGGAGUUUCAGUGCCCUUAGCUAUGACGACAAAAUAUUGGAUGGUUUCUAUGACAUUUGGGCCACUGGGGGCAAGCCCGCACUGCGAACCAUACCCUCUCUGAUGGAGCUGCAUCAGCAACCUUUUUCUCUUGGAGCUAAAACAGAAGCUGUGUUGGUCAACAGAGCACAAGACUCUGAACUUGUAGACCUUGGGCAGAAGGCACUCAUCAUGGCCGUUGACUUCCGCUCUCAAACUUCACAUUCUGUUGGCCGUGUUUUAAUUCAGAGGCUAGCUAUUUUAGUGGCAAACCACAUGGGUGGGCCAGUUGUUGAUCCAGAAAACGUGCUGUUGAAGUACCAGAAUAUGAGUAGUUCUCUGAGAGCUAGUAUUAGAAGCUCCGUCAUGCCUCUUGGCCGCCUCACAAUUGGCCUGGCUCGUCACCGUGCGCUGCUUUUUAAGGUGUUGGCCGACAACCUUGAUGUUCCUUGUCGACUAGUCAAAGGAAGGCAGUACACUGGAUCAGACGAUGGAGCCUUGAACAUUGUGAAAUUGAAUGAUGGAAGGGAAUACAUUGUCGAUCUCAUGUCAGAUCCUGGUACUCUUAUUGCUUCAGACGGUGCAGACUUGGGUAGAGAAUUUGAAGAAAGUUCCUUUGCAGAUAACCACCAAGGUGACAAAGAUGACAGCAACACUCAGUUGGGAUCCUCUAUUAGUGAACCUUCAAGUUCUGUGUGUGGUUCUUUUGAAAACGAGUCAAAAGGAUCCACACCUACCAAUGUUGUGGAUCCGUAUUGUGUAACAACUAGCCAGACUCGUAACCAAGGAUCUUUGCAAUCAAGUUCAUUGGGGGAACUAUCAGCUGGCUCACAUGCUAGUGAAAGUUUGCCUAUUAUCAAGGAAUCUAGAAAUGCAGACCAUACCUUGGCUGUGAAGAACAAAGAAAAGCCGACUGCAGCAAAUAAGUCAUCGUCAAGUUCACCUUCGUCUUCUGAGGUGGGUAGCGCUCCAGCUGUAAGGAGGACGAAGGUGAAAGAUGUCUCAGAGUAUAUGAUUAGUGCUGCAAAAGAUAACCCCCAGUUAGCUGAGAAGAUCCAUGCUGUAUUACUAGAAAAUGGAGUUGUGCCACCACCUGAUUUGUUUUCAGAAGAAUCUAGGGAACAACCAAAAGACCUAAUUGUGUACGACACAUCUCUGUUUCAAACAAAAGGUGAAAUGAUAAAGCGGAUGAAUGAGCUUGAAUCCACAUCACAUGAUGAAAGUGAUCAUGGUCCUUCGUUGCCACCUCAUCCUGGAUAUGAACACCAAACAAAGGCUGUUCCUUAUCGGCCUAAACCUGUCCAAGGAAUGGGUAUUUAUCACCCCUCAAAUUUCCAUGAUAACAGUAAUCCAUCUUUACCUCUGUAUGAAUCAUCUGCACUUGCCCGGGAAUACCCAUUUCAACUUAUAAAGCAAAUGCCUGUUACAGCUGCUGCAGUUGCAACUGCUGCAGUGGUUGCAUCUUCAAUGGUUGUUGCUGCAGCUAAAUCUAAAAGUGAUAUUAAACUAGAUGUGCCUGUUGCUGCUGCUGCCACUGCUGCUGCUGUUGUUGCUACAUCCGCUGCUGUUAAACAGUAUGAAUACAUGGAUCCGGGUUGUCAAUUGAUUAGCUUGCCUAGUUCUUCGGAGGCAAAUGGACCAGUCCAUAGAGUUCGACCUGACUGCUGGGAUAAAGACCAGCUGGAAGUUGAUCAUGGACAAGAAAAUGCUCUCGAGCAAGGAAAUGCUUUGGUUGAAGUGCCUCGGGAAGCUGAACGGAUCUCUGACAAGUCAAUCGGGACAGAGAGUGUAAGAUCUGAUGUAACUAUGGACGAUGUCGCAGAGUUUGAGAUCCAAUGGGAAGAAAUUGUUCUAGGAGAACGUGUUGGGCUAGGAUCUUUUGGAGAAGUGUACAGAGGGGAAUGGCAUGGAACAGAAGUUGCAGUCAAGAAAUUCUUGCAACAGGAUAUUUCAAGUGAUAUACUGGAAGAAUUAAAAGCUGAGGUGCGGAUAAUGAAGAGACUGCGGCAUCCAAAUGUUGUUCUUUUUAUGGGUGCUGUCACUCGUAUACCCAACCUUUCUAUCUUGACUGAAUUUCUUCCGAGAGGUAGUUUGUUUCGGUUGAUCCGUCGCCCCAACAACCAGUUGGAUGAAAGAAAACGUAUAAGGAUGGCACUUGAUGUGGCCCGUGGAAUGAAUUAUUUGCACAAUUGUACCCCUGUUGUAGUUCAUCGAGAUUUGAAGUCACCGAAUCUACUUGUUGACAAGAAUUGGGUUGUGAAGGUUUGUGAUUUUGGUUUAUCACGUAUAAAGCACAAUACCUUCCUUUCCUCAAGAUCCACGGCUGGAACAGCGGAAUGGAUGGCACCAGAAGUGCUUCGAAAUGAACCGUCGGAUGAGAAAUGUGAUGUUUUCAGCUAUGGGGUUAUAUUAUGGGAACUUUGUACCUUGUUACAGCCAUGGGAAGGUAUGAAUCCCAUGCAAGUGGUUGGAGCUGUUGGUUUUCAGGAACGACGCCUUGAUAUUCCAGCCGAGGUGGAUCCUGCCAUAGCAGAGAUAAUAGAGAGAUGCUGGCAGACAGACCCAAAGACGCGUCCAUCAUUUUCAGAGAUCAUGGCUGCCUUAAAACGAGUAUUGAAAAAAUUGUCUGCCAACCAACCACGAAGACAGCGAGCACAGGAAGCAGAUGACUAA